rnacentral:rRNA from 1 species
AUGCAGUCGAACGAUGAUGGGAGCUUGCUCCUGGAUUAGUGGCGAACGGGUGAGUAACACGUGAGUAACCUGCCCUUAACUCUGGGAUAAGCCUGGGAAACUGGGUCUAAUACCGGAUAUGACUCCUCAUCGCAUGGUGGGGGGUGGAAAGCUUUUUGUGGUUUUGGAUGGACUCGCGGCCUAUCAGCUUGUUGGUGAGGUAAUGGCUCACCAAGGCGACGACGGGUAGCCGGCCUGAGAGGGUGACCGGCCACACUGGGACUGAGACACGGCCCAGACUCCUACGGGAGGCAGCAGUGGGGAAUAUUGCACAAUGGGCGAAAGCCUGAUGCAGCGACGCCGCGUGAGGGAUGACGGCCUUCGGGUUGUAAACCUCUUUCAGUAGGGAAGAAGCGAAAGUGACGGUACCUGCAGAAGAAGCGCCGGCUAACUACGUGCCAGCAGCCGCGGU